rnacentral:rRNA from 1 species
UACAGGGGGGGCAAGCGUUGUUCGGAAUUACUGGGCGUAAAGGGCUCGUAGGUGGCCGACUAAGUCAGACGUGAAAUCCCUCAGCUUAACUGGGGAACUGCGUCUGAUACUGGAUGGCUUGAGUUUGGGAGAGGGAUGCGGAAUUCCAGGUGUAGCGGUGAAAUGCGUAGAUAUCUGGAGGAACACCGGUGGCGAAGGCGGCAUCCUGGACCAACACGUGACACUGAGGAGCGAAAGCCAGGGGAGCAAACCGGGGAGUUAGAA